GUAACAAUAGUUUCAUUUAGUAAAUUCGUUUUUUAUUUUAUUUUAAACUACAGGCAUUGCAACUUUUAAUUAACAAAAAUGCUCCCAUCGAUAUAGGUGAUAAUCAAGAAAAGAUACCUCUUCAUUUGGCACCUGAAAACGGUCAUUUAACUUGUGUAAAACCUCUUGUUUCUAUCUCUCCUGGUGAAGUAAAUUCAACUGAUGCUUGUGGAAUGACUCUACUUCAUUUGGUAGUUUUAAAUGAUCACAGGGAUGUAAUUAAGCUACUAAUUGUGUCUGGCGCUAAUGUUAGCUUACGUGAUAACCUUGACUGGAGUUCUUUGGAUUAUGCUGCAUGAAAUAGUAAAGAAAAAUGUUCGUAAAAAAAUAUUUUUUUUUUUACGUUUUGCUUAAUGCUCUGCUCAAAAAAGGUUAUGUUAGUGCUUCUGACAAAAAUCGUUAUACACCUCUUCAUCAUGCAGCAACUGGUGGCCAUGUUGAAUGCAUAAAUUUAUUGCUAGAAAAUGGAGCUAAUGUUCAGUUACAAACUAAUGAAAAUAAAAAUUGCUUGUACCUUGCAGUUGAGAAUUUACUAAAAGAUGCAUGUAUGACAAUCAUGCAGCAUGAAGGCGUGAAGCACUUCUUAACAUGAACAAGAGUGGAACACAACAUGAAAAAAGUAAUAGAGCUAACUCCAGAAGUUGGGGAAAAGAGAUAACUGCAUUAUAUGUGAUAAACUCGAUAACAAAAAUUCUGAUUAUUCAGUUGAAUUUUGAAUUUAUAGAUAAGGACCCUAUGAAUCCUAAAAAAUUAAUUUUUGCACCAUUGCUUAUGGUAAAAUAUAAACGCGGAAAGUUGUUGAGUCAUCCCCUUGUUGUUGAACUUAUUAAUCAAAAGUGGUCUCGAAUGGGUCAAUGGAUUUAUUUAUGCUCGCUUUGUUUUUAUUUAAUAUUUGUUUCAUUUCUUACCACGCUUGUAAUUAUAGGAAAAAUUAGAGUUUCAGAGAAAAGCUAUGUUCCAACUUGCUGAAAUAAAGAACAUGUUGGUAGAUAGAACUGCACAGUUCUCUAAUGAUCCAGAAGAAAGUUUGAAACAAUGUAAAAGUUAAUAUGAACUUAAUGUUUUGAAAGUAAAAAUUGGAAAUUGAGAUAUCCAAUACAAAACUUUUCUAUGCAUGAACUUAAUCUUUAUAGUUUAUAUGUUAUGUAUUAUUACAAUAUUUUAAACUAUAAUCAACUGUUAUAUUUUCUAUUUAUUUUGCAUAUUUUUAGUAAUUUUCU